CGUAAAUAGCCUCCCUUUCCUUUUCUUGUAGAGCUAUUCAAUUAUAAUUGUCCAAUAGGAAAUCCUUUUGAUAGUGGCGCAAAAACAAGGAGUUUUGAAUACGUUUCCUGCUGGCUUAUUUGUCAGGACAUUUUGGGAAUUGUUUCAGUUUUCAUCCGGGGGGUUGCUCUUAUAAUUUUGACAUAAAACGACGAGAACACAGUUUGACUUAUUACUCGGUUUCUACCUUACAGCUUAAGAAAUGAUCAAGAAGUACGCUUUUCUGGCCUUUGUCGUGGUUAUUCUCUUAAAUUUCGCCGUUGAUAGCAAAUGCUUUCUUGGCCCCUACCGUAGCGGAAAGAGGGGAUCAAUUGCGAAAGGAAAGCACGAAACCAUAACUUCAGUGAGGGAUACAAUUGACGCAACAGACGAUAGAGGAAUAAAUAGAGAAACUCAUGUUCCGUUGAGAUUUUUUCAAGUUCAAAAGGGUGGCGAGUAAUAUUUGUCGUCUAUCGAAAAAUCUUGGAUGCUGGAAAAUGGAGCAAACUCAACGAUAAGGAAGGAAAAACUAGUUAAAUCUUGAGACUCAUCAUAUGCAUAACAACAUGAUAUCAUGUCGAUUACGGUUAACAGGAUAUAGUGUGAUUCUUUUAAUGGCGACUUUGAGGAUCUAAUAAAACUUACAAAUUUC